AUUGAACGCUGGCGGCAGGCCUAACACAUGCAAGUCGAGCGGAUGAAGGGAGCUUGCGCCUGGCUUCAGCGGCGGACGGGUGAGUAAUGCACAGGAAUCUGCCCGGCAGUGGGGGAUAACGUCCGGAAACGGGAGCUAAUACCGCAUACGACCAGAGAGAGAAAGGGGGGGAUCUUCGGACAUCACGGGAUCAGCUGAGCCUAGGCCGGAUUAGCUAGUUGGUGGGGUAACGGCCUACCAAGGCGACGAUCCGUAACUGAUCUGAGAGGAUGAUCAGUCACACUGGAACUGAGACACGGUCCAGACUCCUACGGGAGGCAGCAGUGGGGAAUAUUGGACAAUGGGCGAAAGCCUGAUCCAGCCAUGCCGCGUGUGUGAAGAAGGUCUUCGGAUCGUAAAGCACUUUAAGUUGGGAAGAAGGGCAGUAUGUUAAACCCUUGCUGUUUUGACGGUACCGACAGAAUAAGCACCGGCUAACUUCGUG
rnacentral:rRNA from 1 species